rnacentral:lncRNA from 1 species
CUCUGUUCUCCGCGCCGCACUGAGGGGCUUUCUUCGCAGCCGUGGGAAACUGGUGGGCGAGCGCGCGCCCCGCCGCCAUGUGGACGCUCGGCCAGGGAAAGCCCAGUGAACCAGAAAAGGAGAAUUUUUCUGCAGUGCUGGAGUGUGAAAACGGCUACAGGAGGAGGAAAUGCCAGCUUCCACCCAGUUCUUCCUCCAUCACCCUCAUGAACUUCUUGGCCAGGGAAUACCCAUCACUGGAGCUUGUCGCCCCACUAAAGUGCUCUGGGGGUCCUGGGGUGCUUGCCCCUCUCUCCUCCAGCACUUGCCCACUCUGCUCUUCUGGCAGCUGAUGGUGGUUUCAGAAACAGUGAGGCCAGAAUCCCUAAAGCGCGCUCUGCUCACCAACCCCCACCCGCACCCCCUACCUCCAACCUAGAGCACUUGAGAUGACUAACUGCAGCGUGGAUGUCAAGGCAGGCCUGGAGCUCAGGAGGAGGGUACAGAGAGAAACCUGCUUUACCACUGGUGAACUUGACAUCAUGGUCUUGGACACGCACUGUGGAAAGAUGGGCUUGUACAUUCAAAAUGCAGGAAGCAGUGAGCUCCAGGAGAUGGUGAAGCUCCGGGAGUAGUGAAGAACAGGGAAGCCUGGCAUGCUGCAGUCCAUGGGGUCACACAGAGGUGGAAGGACUGAGUGACUGAACAAUAGCAACAAAGCAGUGAGCUCAAGGUCUGACCCAUAGCCCUUGCAUUCUGCUGAUGGGAAUGAGGGAAGACACCCAGAUGCACAGCCUCUGUAGCUGGAGACCAGACAGUGUUUCAUAGCAUCCUUCAUGACGGAGACCUUGAGGGUGGUUAUGUCCAAGGGCUGGUGAGUUGUCCGAGGAUGAGCCUCAAGGCCCAUGGCAGCAAGGAAAGCACUUCCUAUACAGCCUCCAAGUCUUCAGCAUGUUUGCAGGCACUUGGAUGGAGCUGUAGGUGGAAGACUCCUCAAGUUUGCAGACCAUCAAAUCUGAGAAGAGUAGGAAAUGCACUGUGUGAUAAAAGCUAACAGGUUUGCUCAGGCUGGGUGAAUAGGGCCCAUUUCUGAGAUGAGUCUGAAGACGGUUCAGUGUCACACUCUGCUUAUGGGGUCCAAGACAUCACCUGCCUCAGCAUGUGUGGGGAAAAAAAAAAACACGGAAGGAUCUGGGGUAUUCAGCAUAUUGCCAAUCAACUGUGUGGUUAAUCUGAACAAAACAGAGAUGUGAUCUUCAGCUACAUUGAAGAAGUUCUUGUUUUCCAAGAUUUCUUUGUCCUGUGAAUCCCAUUAAGGGAUUUCUUUUGGGUCCACUGACCACUCAAAUCAAAAACUUCUGGGGCUUGUUAAAAAUUCAGAUUUGGGGGCCCACCUAGGUUAUUCAUUCAGGCUGUAUAGGGAGGAAGCCCCAGAAGAU